AGCGAACGCUGGCGGCAGGCUUAACACAUGCAAGUCGAGCGGGUGCAGCAAUACAUCAGCGGCAGACGGGUGAGUAACGCGUGGGAACGUACCUUUUGGUUCGGAACAACACAGGGAAACUUGUGCUAAUACCGGAUAAGCCCUUACGGGGAAAGAUUUAUCGCCGAAAGAUCGGCCCGCGUCUGAUUAGCUAGUUGGUAGGGUAACGGCCUACCAAGGCGACGAUCAGUAGCUAGUCUGAGAGGAUGAUCAGCCACAUUGGGACUGAGACACGGCCCAAACUCCUACGGGAGGCAGCAGUGGGGAAUAUUGGACAAUGGGGGCAACCCUGAUCCAGCCAUGCCGCGUGAGUGAUGAAGGCCCUAGGGUUGUAAAGCUCUUUUGUGCGGGAAGAUAAUGACGGUACCGCAAGAAUAAGCCCCGGCUAACUUCGUGCCAGCAGCCGCCGUAAUAC
rnacentral:rRNA from 1 species